rnacentral:misc_RNA from 1 species
UCAUAAGUGUUUUAUGGCACUUUUUAAAUCCAUAUCCACCUUGUGUGCAAUGUCAGUCGAUCUUCUUCAUGGAGAUCGACCAAACAUCAACCUUUAUUUUUAACUCUUUGUCUGAAAGAUAUUAUGAAUAAACAAUUCAAAAUA